rnacentral:rRNA from 1 species
UUCCAGCUCCAAUAGCGUAUAUUAAAGUUGUUGCAGUUAAAAAGCUCGUAGUUGAAUUUCGGGGUUAGUAGGUUGGUCAUGCCUCCGGUAUGUACUGAUCUCACUGAUUCCUCCUUCCUUAUGAACCGUAAUGCCAUUAAUUUGGUGUUGCGGGGAAUUUGGACUGUUACUUUGAAAAAAUUAGAGUGUUUAAAGCAAGCUAACGCUUGAAUACAUUAGCAUGGAAUAAUGAAAUAGGACGUUCGAUCUUAUUUUGUUGGUUUCUAGGAUUGACGUAAUAAUUAAUAGGGAUAGUUGGGGGCAUUAGUAUUCAAUUGUCAGAGGUGAAAUUCUUGGAUUUAUUGAAGACUAACUACUGCGAAAGCAUUUGCCAAGGAUGUUUUCAUUAAUCAAGAACGAAAGUUAGGGGAUCGAAGACGAUCAGAUACCGUCGUAGUCUUAACCAUAAACUAUGCCGACUAGGGAUCGG